UACGAAGGGGGCUAGCGUUGCUCGGAAUCACUGGGCGUAAAGGGUGCGUAGGCGGCCACGCAGGUCCGUUGUGAAAACUAGAGGCUCAACCUCUAGACGUCGACGGAAACCGUGUGGCUAGAGUCCGGAAGAGGAGAGUGGAAUUCCUGGUGUAGCGGUGAAAUGCGCAGAUAUCAGGAAGAACACCAAUGGCGAAGGCAGCUCUCUGGGACGGUACUGACGCUGAGACGCGAAAGCGUGGGGAGCGAACAGG
rnacentral:rRNA from 1 species